CUUGUGCGUAGAUUGGUGAUAUCAUCAUUCAGUUUAAAUAGCUGACUGUACACUGUGUGUUAUAUUUUCUUCCGUAAGCUGCUUUAAAGAGGACGUCUCGAGAAAUGUGUCGGUGUUCGCUGUUGGUGUUACUGCUCGGUCUAAGCUGGGCGGUCGCACGAUCCACACAAAACGAUGAAAUCCAUUUUAGCAUUGAACAGUCUUACAGACCCCCAGAUACGUCAAAUGAUAUUGCCUACGAGUACAACAGCGAAGCGAUCGAGACUUUAUCGAGGCAGCGUCGCAGUCUGCCGGCUAGUCCUAUAUACAAAUGUCCUAUCGACCGACGAAUGAUAAAUAUUGGGAAUGGUCACUUUAUAUGUCAGCUGAGACGAAAGCAUGUUAUAAGACAUUGAUAAAAAAUGAACAAUAUAAGCCAAACAAAAUAUGUAAUUAAUAUGAUUAGUGCAAUCAUUGCUGAAGACUGGUUCAUCCAGCCUGAGGCACUGUGGGCCUUUGUCGCGUUUUUUAGAGACCUGCAUCAAUUAUAAGUAAACGUAAUUAUCGAUCUUUUUGUAUAAGUAGUUACAUAGCAGUUUGUUUCAGAAACUAAUAAAACUAUAUGUAUAAAAAGAAAUAUAUGUAUUUGCUAAUA